UUAAAUGUAGUCAUCAAAGAAGAAAGGUGAAUUAAAAUGAAGUUUUAAUUCACUAAGUGAUUGAUUUAAAUAUAAUCAAUUGGAUUGAUGCCAAUCACCUCACUGUCUUGCUAAUUAGAACCUAAAAUGAUUGUACACCGAUACACUCUUGUAAUGAGUAAUUAAUGGAUGAUGGAAAUAAUUAAUUGGAUUAAUUAAUUGUUGUGAUUAAUUUAGAAAGUCUAAAGAAAUCAUAAAAGCGAUAAAGAUCGUUUUGGGCUUAAAGAAACGUUCGGGUUUAAUUGGGCCCAUUGGGCUUUUAUUCAAGCAUUGGAUGACUUGAAAUAAAUGAAAGCCCAAAGCCCAAACAACACAAAGAGGGCCGGCCACUUUAAGGUGAAGAGCGUGAGAUAUUUAGUCAAGUUGUUGACUAGGUUUCUUUUGUCUAUAUAAGGAACUUUAUAGAGAUAUUGUUCAUUAGGGUUUUUGUGUGUUUAAAACAACAAAAAGGCAAAAGAAAUAUCUCUCUAAAACACAUCAAAGGCCGGCCACCUUGGGGUGAUUUUACUAACACAUCUUUCACCCUUUGGUUAUUCCUUCAUCCUUCUCACUACACUAGUGGGUGAGGAUCUUUAGAGGUUUUCAACUUUGGAAACUUGAAGAGAACCUAGGAGCACUCAUUCUUUCAAAGUGGAGGAGGCAAGGAGGGAAG
rnacentral:lncRNA from 1 species